GAUGAACGCUGGCGGCGUGCCUAAUACAUGCAAGUCGAGCGAACGGACGAGAAGCUUGCUUUUCUGAUGUUAGCGGCGGACGGGUGAGUAACACGUGGAUAACCUACCUAUAAGACUGGGAUAACUUCGGGAAACCGGAGCUAAUACCGGAUAAUAUUUUGAACCGCAUGGUUCAAAAGUGAAAGACGGUCUUGCUGUCACUUAUAGAUGGAUCCGCGGUGCAUUAGCUAGUUGGUAAGGUAACGGCUUACCAAGGCAACGAUGCAUAGCCGACCUGAGAGGGUGAUCGGCCACACUGGAACUGAGACACGGUCCAGACUCCUACGGGAGGCAGCAGUAGGGAAUCUUCCGCAAUGGGCGAAAGCCUGACGGAGCAACGCCGCGUGAGUGAUGAAGGUCUUCGGAUCGUAAAACUCUGUUAUUAGGGAAGAACAUAUGUGUAAGUAACUGUGCACAUCUUGACGGUACCUAAUCAGAAAGCCACGGCUAACUACGUG
rnacentral:rRNA from 1 species